GAUGAACGCUGGCGGCGUGCCCAAUACAUGCAAGUCGAGCGAACGGACGAGAAGCUUGCUUCUCUGAUGUUAGCGGCGGACGGGUGAGUAACACGUGGAUAACCUACCUAUAAGACUGGGAUAACUUCGGGAAACCGGAGCUAAUACCGGAUAAUAUUUUGAACCGCAUGGUUCAAAAGUGAANGANGGUCUUGCUGUCACUUAUAGAUGGAUCCGCGCUGCAUUAGCUAGUUGGUAAGGUAACGGCUUACCAAGGCAACGAUGCAUAGCCGACCUGAGAGGGUGAUCGGCCACACUGGAACUGAGACACGGUCCAGACUCCUACGGGAGGCAGCAGUAGGGAAUCUUCCGCAAUGGGCGAAAGCCUGACGGAGCGACGCCGCGUGAGUGAUGAAGGUCUUCGGAUCGUAAAACUCUGUUAUUAGGGAAGAACAUAUGUGUAAGUAACUGUGCACAUCUUGACGGUACCUAAUCAGAAAGCCACGGCUAACUACGUGCCAGCAGCCGCGGUAAUACGUAGGUGGCAAGCGUUAUCCGGAAUUAUUGGGCGUAAAGCGCGCGUAGGCGGUUUUUUAAGUCUGAUGUGAAAGCCCACGGCUCAACCGUGGAGGGUCAUUGGAAACUGGAAAACUUGAGUGCAGAAGAGGAAAGUGGAAUUCCAUGUGUAGCGGUGAAAUGCGCAGAGAUAUGGAGGAACACCAGUGGCGAAGGCGACUUUCUGGUCUGUAACUGACGCUGAUGUGCGAAAGCGUGGGGAUCAAACAGGAUUAGAUACCCUGGUAGUCCACGCCGUAAACGAUGAGUGCUAAGUGUUAGGGGGUUUCCGCCCCUUAGUGCUGCAGCUAACGCAUUAAGCACUCCGCCUGGGGAGUACGACCGCAAGGUUGGAACUCAAAGGAAUUGACGGGGACCCGCACAAGCGGUGGAGCAUGUGGUUUAAUUCGAAGCAACGCGAAGAACCUUACCAAAUCUUGACAUCCUUUGACAACUCUAGAGAUAGAGCUUUCCCCUUCGGGGGACAAAGUGACAGGUGGUGCAUGGUUGUCGUCAGCUCGUGUCGUGAGAUGUUGGGUUAAGUCCCGCAACGAGCGCAACCCUUAAGCUUAGUUGCCAUCAUUAAGUUGGGCACUCUAAGUUGACUGCCGGUGACAAACCGGAGGAAGGUGGGGAUGACGUCAAAUCAUCAUGCCCCUUAUGAUUUGGGCUACACACGUGCUACAAUGGACAAUACAAAGGGCAGCGAAACCGCGAGGUCAAGCAAAUCCCAUAAAGUUGUUCUCAGUUCGGAUUGUAGUCUGCAACUCGACUACAUGAAGCUGGAAUCGCUAGUAAUCGUAGAUCAGCAUGCUACGGUGAAUACGUUCCCGGGUCU
rnacentral:rRNA from 1 species